UACGGGGGGAGCAAGCGUUGUUCGGAUUUACUGGGCGUAAAGGGCGCGUAGGCGGUCGUGACAAGUCACUUGUGAAAUCUCCGGGCUUAACUCGGAAAGGUCAAGUGAUACUGUCGGACUAGAGUACAGAAGGGGCAACUGGAAUUCUCGGUGUAGCGGUGAAAUGCGUAGAUAUCGGGAAGAACACCUAUGGCGAAGGCAGGUCUCUGGGCCGAUACUGACGCUGAGGAGCGAAAGCGUGGGGAGCGAACAGG
rnacentral:rRNA from 1 species